CUCUCACGACAUCGGUACAAUCUUCACUCUUUUUUCUCAGGUCUUCUCCUCCUCAUGCGGAAGAAAAACAAACAUUAUACGCCUUAGUAUUAACAGAUUUUAAGAGUCAUUUUUAGUACCGUGUCUUGAGUUUUUUUUGUCGAGAACUAAUUACUUUUUACGAUGGUUUGAUUCUUUACAGAUUUUUGGACCUGUUGGAGUAAAAAAGGAAUUUAAGAGUAGAAGUGGAGAAGAAUGCAUCAAG